UUAGAUUGGACGUUACCGAGUUUACACUCCCAACCCCUGUGAACAUACCACUUGUUGCCUCGGCGGAUCAGCCCGCUCCCGGUAAAACGGGACGGCCCGCCAGAGGACCCCUAAACUCUGUUUCUAUAUGUAACUUCUGAGUAAAACCAUAAAUAAAUCAAAACUUUCAACAACGGAUCUCUUGGUUCUGGCAUCGAUGAAGAACGCAGCAAAAUGCGAUAAGUAAUGUGAAUUGCAGAAUUCAGUGAAUCAUCGAAUCUUUGAACGCACAUUGCGCCCGCCAGUAUUCUGGCGGGCAUGCCUGUUCGAGCGUCAUUUCAACCCUCAAGCCCUCGGGUUUGGUGUUGGGGAUCGGCGAGCCCUUUGCGGCAAGCCGGCCCCAAAAUCUAGUGGAGGUCUCAAUACAACUUCCAUUGGAUACGAAGAAAACCCUCCCAACUGAAAAGGGAGGCGGACAAACCAAUAGACCAAAAAAUUAAGAAAGAAGAGAAUGGAAAGGAAAAACCACCAAAAAAAACCCAACA
rnacentral:rRNA from 1 species